AAAUUGAAGAGUUUGAUCAUGGCUCAGAUUGAACGCUGGCGGCAGGCCUAACACAUGCAAGUCGAACGGUAACAGGAAGCAGCUUGCUGCUUUGCUGACGAGUGGCGGACGGGUGAGUAAUGUCUGGGAAACUGCCUGAUGGAGGGGGAUAACUACUGGAAACGGUGGCUAAUACCGCAUAACGUCGCAAGACCAAAGAGGGGGACCUUCGGGCCUCUUGCCAUCAGAUGUGCCCAGAUGGGAUUAGCUUGUUGGUGAGGUAACGGCUCACCAAGGCGACGAUCCCUAGCUGGUCUGAGAGGAUGACCAGCCACACUGGAACUGAGACACGGUCCAGACUCCUACGGGAGGCAGCAGUGGGGAAUAUUGCACAAUGGGCGCAAGCCUGAUGCAGCCAUGCCGCGUGUAUGAAGAAGGCCUUCGGGUUGUAAAGUACUUUCAGCGGGGAGGAAGGUGUUGUGGUUAAUAACCGCAGCAAUUGACGUUACCCGCAGAAGAAGCACCGGCUAACUCCGUGCCAGCAGCCGCGGUAAUACGGAGGGUGCAAGCGUUAAUCGGAAUUACUGGGCGUAAAGCGCACGCAGGCGGUCUGUCAAGUCGGAUGUGAAAUCCCCGGGCUCAACCUGGGAACUGCAUUCGAAACUGGCAGGCUUGAGUCUUGUAGAGGGGGGUAGAAUUCCAGGUGUAGCGGUGAAAUGCGUAGAGAUCUGGAGGAAUACCGGUGGCGAAGGCGGCCCCCUGGACAAAGACUGACGCUCAGGUGCGAAAGCGUGGGGAGCAAACAGGAUUAGAUACCCUGGUAGUCCACGCCGUAAACGAUGUCUACUUGGAGGUUGUGCCCUUGAGGCGUGGCUUCCGGAGCUAACGCGUUAAGUAGACCGCCUGGGGAGUACGGCCGCAAGGUUAAAACUCAAAUGAAUUGACGGGGGCCCGCACAAGCGGUGGAGCAUGUGGUUUAAUUCGAUGCAACGCGAAGAACCUUACCUGGUCUUGACAUCCACAGAAGAAUCCAGAGAUGGAUUUGUGCCUUCGGGAACUGUGAGACAGGUG
rnacentral:rRNA from 1 species